rnacentral:rRNA from 1 species
CCUAACACAUGCAAGUCGAACGAGGUAGCAAUACCUAGUGGCGGACGGGUGAGGAAUACGUAGGGAUCUGCCUUUAAGUGGGGGAUAACCCGGGGAAACCCGGAUUAAUACCGCAUGAUCUCGCAAGAGCAAAGAGGGGGACCGCAAGGCCUCUCGCUUUUAGAGGAACCUACGUCGGAUUAGCUAGUUGGUGAGGUAAUGGCUCACCAAGGCGACGAUCCGUAACUGGUCUGAGAGGAUGAUCAGUCACACCGGAACUGAGACACGGUCCGGACUCCUACGGGAGGCAGCAGUGGGGAAUAUUGGACAAUGGGCGAAAGCCUGAUCCAGCAAUACCGCGUGUGUGAAGAAGGCCUUCGGGUUGUAAAGCACUUUAAGUUGGGAAGAAAAAGCUUCACCUAAUACGUGAAGCCUUGACGGUACCGACAGAAUAAGCACCGGCUAACUCUGUGCCAGCAGCCGCGGUAAUACAGAGGGUGCUAGCGUUAAUCGGAUUUACUGGGCGUAAAGCGUGCGUAGGCGGUUUGAUAAGUCGAUUGUGAAAGCCCCGGGCUUAACCUGGGAAUUGCGGUCGAUACUGUCAGACUCGAAAACGGUAGAGGGAGGCGGAACUCCAGGUGUAGCGGUGAAAUGCGUAGAUAUCUGGAAGAACACCGAUGGCGAAGGCAACCUCCUGGGCCUGUUUUGACGCUGAGGCACGAAAGCGUG